rnacentral:RNase_P_RNA from 1 species
GGAGGCCGGGCAGCCGCGGGUAUGCAAAUACGCGAGGAAAGUCCGGGCUCCACGAAGCAAGGGUGGCGGGUAACGCCCGCCCGGGGCAACCCGAGGGACAGUGCCACAGAGAGUAUACCGCCGAUGGAUGGCCCAAGGUCUUGGGCUUCUCACAGGCAAGGGUGAAAGGGUGCGGUAAAAGCGCACCGGGGGCCUGGUAACAGGUCCCGUCAUGGCAAACCCCACCCGGAGCAAGGCCGAAUAGGGACCCCGCGCCGGAAACGGCAGGAGCGCUUCGCUUCCGAGGAGGUCCGGGUUGGCUGCUGGAACCGUCUGGCAACAGGCGGUCUAGAUGAAUGGCUGCCACCCUCCGCAAGGAGGGGACAGAACCCGGCUUACAGGCCUCCUGG